AUUGAACGCUGGCGGCAGGCCUAACACAUGCAAGUCGAGCGGAGCGGCGGACGGAUGGGUAAUUCCUAUGAAUCUGCCUGGUAGUGGGGGAUAGCUUCCUGCAACGAGCGCUAAUUCCUCAUCCUAUCCGAUGAGCCUAGGUCGGAUUCGCUAGUUGGUGGGGUAAAGGCCGACCAAGGCGACGAGCCGUAACUGGUCUGAGAGGAUGAUCAGUCAAACUGGAAAUGAGACACGGUCCAGACUCCUACGGGAGGCAGCAGUGGGGAAUAUUGGACAAUGGGCGAAAGCCUGAUCCAGCCAUGCCGCGUGUGUGAAGAAGGUCUUCGGAUUGUAAAGCACUUUAAGUUGGGAGGCGUUACCAACAGAAUAAGCACCGGCUAACUUCGUGCCAGCCGCCGCGGUAAUUC
rnacentral:rRNA from 1 species